AGAUGAUGGGUUGUAUUUCCAACACAAGCUACUUGGUCCACCUGUGUUCCAGUGAUGGUGACAAGGAAUAAAGCAACAUACGACUCAUAAAAGUUUGUGGGAUCAUCCUUCCUGAGUAUGGAGCAACAUGGUAUAACUAAUGAAACUGACUGUUCUGAAAAGCUAUCCAACAAACUUGAAAAAUUCCUCAUUUGUCCAGCAAAGUAAAUUAAUUCACCGGAUGAUAGACAUUAAUUAAUGGAUCACGAUUGACCAUGAAUGACUGAAACUGUGGAAAGCAAAACCUUGCAUAAGGAGGGAACCAUUGGAACUGUCUACAGACUUUCAAAAAGCAGAUUCAUGAAAAUGGCACACCGUUUAUUAGCUCUUGGAAGAUGAUGUUUGUUUUAAUAAUUUUGGAAUGGGAACGUAUCGGAGAUGGUGAUAAAUGCAUAGCAGGGUUCAGAUGAAAAAAAUGAGUCAUGGUGUUUGAGAGAAGCUCUCUUUUAGUUGUAAAGUCCUCUAGUCUCAGAAUCCUGGUUUUCUUUCUACACAACUCAUAAUUUUCUAUCUGCAUGUAUAUACUUCUAUAUCAUCCAAAGUUUCAUUAUAGCUGUCUACUUUCAACUUUGUCCCAACUCUCAAUUCUUUUAUUCUCUUUGGCUAUCUUGUUUGAGCUGACAUUCUUCUAUUCAUUGCCUUCUCACCAUCCAGCUUCCUUCAUCCUGGUUUGGAGGGCUCUCUCCAUAAUCUACAUAUUACUGUAAUAGAUUAAUGCUUUACGCAUGAAGGAUAUGGGCAUAUUUACCUUGAAGAUUAAUAAUAAAAAUGUAAGAAUUGAAACCUACAUAGCUUAUACUCAGAAAUGACGAUCCAGGCUACUUAUAAUUAAAGAGACGUACUAUUUGCAUACUAGCUAUGUGGACUAUUUAAACUAAUCUCAGUAUUCUUUAUAAUUAUGGUUAAAAUUGAGAAAUCAGGUAUAAAAAAUAAUAGUUCUGAAC